rnacentral:lncRNA from 1 species
GGAUCGAACAUAUCAAACCUUGAAGUGGCUCCCUUGGAUAUGGUGGAGAUCAUAAUUUAAGGUGUCAUGGUGGAGUCUCCGCCUGUCAUCAUCAUCGAAGUCCUAAACACAACAGUCAAGACAUCAUAGGCUGCCUAUGCAAGGACUAGAUAUCAACCUAUGUAGGUGACUCCAGAGGCUAUAGUGGACUUAACUAAAGUUAAGGAUGAGGUUGUGGAAGGAGCAAUCAUCGGAGUGACCAGAAUGAUGGGAGAAAUCAUGGGUCCCUCUCAUCAUGCUGUCGAAGUGUCGCCAUCUUGUCUUCCAUCUGAGCCUUUUCUUCCCAUUCCCCUUAGGCAGACUCUUUAUCCUUUCGCUCUGGAUGGUCAAGCCAAGAGGAUGAGAUAGUGAUCUUCGAGUACCAUCAUUCUUAGAAAAUAAUCAAAGGAUUGAUACCUCCUCGGGAUGAAGAGUACCUAUCCGGGAUGAUCGAUGAAGAGGCACUGUUGAGCUCAUAUCACAGCAUCCUGAUGUUAAGUUUUCUUUUCUUUGCUCA